GAUGAACGCUGGCGGCGUGCCUAACACAUGCAAGUCGAACGAGAAUCCGGGGCAACCCGGUAGUAAAGUGGCGAACGGGUGAGGAAUACAUGGGUAACCUGCCCUUGAGAAUGGAAUAACCCGCGGAAAGGUGAGCUAAUACCAUAUACGCUUGUUUUCUCACGGGAUGGCAAGGAAAGCUGAACCGAGGGUUUGGCGCUCAAGGAUGGGCUCAUGUCCUAUCAGCUUGUUGGUAGGGUAACGGCCUACCAAGGCAACGACGGGUAGCUGGUCUGAGAGGAUGAUCAGCCACACUGGCACUGAGAUACGGGCCAGACUCCUACGGGAGGCAGCAGUGAGGAAUAUUGCGCAAUGGGCGAAAGCCUGACGCAGCGACGCCGCGUGGGGGAUGAAGGUUUUCGAAUUGUAAACCCCUUUCAGGAGGAAAGAGAAGGUGGGUUACCACCUAGACGGUACCUCCAGAAGAAGCCACGGCCAACUUCGUG
rnacentral:rRNA from 1 species